UACAUGCUGCUGCGCUGCUUUGUUGUUGACACGCGCACCUUUUUGUGCUGAGUACACCACCUUUUGUGCUGACGAGGGCACCAAUUUCUGAUAUCAUGUUUUCCUUUUGCCAUGUCGUCGUCAGUUGUCCGACGUUCGUCGUCAGUUGUCAGUCAUUCGUUGUCAGAGUCAGACGUUUGUUGACAGUCGUCAGUCAUUCGUUGUCAGUGUUAGUUCUCCAUUAUGAGUUCUUCCGUCGCCGCUUGAAGUAAACUAUGAAAAGCUCUCUCUCUAGCUCUAGAGAAAAACCACUGACUAGUUCGUUUUGAGGUGUGGCGUGGCGAGGAUAGAAGAGGCAGUUCGUUCUCAACCUUCCGAGACGACAUUUGGCGCCCAACUAAUCGAACCCACGACCCUGAAGCUCGUCGCUCCCCGGCCGGUGUUUUUCGUUUUCCUCUUCGCGUUCUCGCCAUGGCUCCGCUUUGCUGCGUCUGUUCAACCCUUUCCUAGAUCCUCGGAGCUCCUACUCAGUUUCUGUAGCGCCAUCGGUUUUCGGACAGCCGGCCAGUGUGCGUCCUGCUGCCCCAGUCUUCUUCUCGGUCGGUGCGUGCUGUCGGUCUCGCCGCUCCUGGAAGCGUCGCUGGGUCCGUCGGCAUAACCUGUUUUCUCAUGCAUUUGUACUUUUGUUUUGUCAUGACUGGUGGAUGGGUGGCGUACUAGGUUGGUGCUGUUCUAAGAAUAAAAGAUCCAAAGGGACAAACACAGGUCGAACAGCUCGCCAGCCGGGGUCCUUUGCAAAAUCUGUUGCUUGCAGGUUCCGUUGAUUGGUGCACAGUUUUGCGGGGCUCCCGACUGGUGUUAACCCUCCUGGCCUACUCGUCAUGCAUUCAACAGUUGUGGCCCACCUCUUUUGUGUUUUAUUGUCGCCUGUUUAUGUUGCUUCAUAUUUCAUUUCCCCUGUCUUUCUGUCUUCUUCUCCGGUCUGUCUUCUUCCGUUUUUUAUACACUUCACUUUUGCUUCCAUCCACAGGAGUGGAUGUCUUUUUUUGGUAGGGGAUAGUGUUGUACCUGCGCCUGCACGUGUUAUCUCUUCGUCGUAGCUGCUGCUGUAUUUGUGUCUUUGUGUGUACAUGUGGCUGCACGUGUUGUCUCUUCGUCGUAGCUGCUGCUGUAUUUGUGUCUGUGCUGCUGACCCGUACAUGCUGCUGCGCUGCUUUGUUGUUGACACGCGCACCUUUUUGUGCUGAGUACACCACCUUUUGUGCUGACGAGGGCACCAAUUUCUGAUAUCAUGUUUUCCUUUUGCCAUGUCGUCGUCAGUUGUCCGACGUUCGUCGUCAGUUGUCAGUCAUUCGUUGUCAGAGUCAGACGUUUGUUGACAGUCGUCAGUCAUUCGUUGUCAGUGUUAGUUCUCCAUUAUGAGUUCUUCCGUCGCCGCUUGAAGUAAACUAUGAAAAGCUCUCUCUCUAGCUCUAGAGAAAAACCA